rnacentral:tRNA from 1 species
GCUCCGCUAGCUCAACGGUAGAGCAACGCCCUUUUAAGGCGCAGGUUGAUGGUUCGAAUCCGUCGCGGGGCA